UACGUAGGGGGCAAGCGUUGUCCGGAAUCAUUGGGCGUAAAGAGCGUGUAGGCGGCCCGGUAAGUCCGCUGUGAAAGUCCAGGGCUCAACCCUGGGAUGCCGGUGGAUACUGUCGGGCUCGAGUCCGGAAGAGGAGUGUGGAAUUCCUGGUGUAGCGGUGAAAUGCGCAGAUAUCAGGAAGAACACCCGUGGCGAAAGCGGCAUCUC
rnacentral:rRNA from 1 species